rnacentral:rRNA from 1 species
AUGCUGCGGUGAAUGCGUUCCCGGGUCUUGUACACACCGCCCGUCACACCACGGAAGUUGGGGGCGCCCGAAGCCACUUAGCUAACCCUUUUGGGAAGCGAGUGUCGAAGGUGAAAUCAAUAACUGGGUGAAGUCGUAACAAGGUAGC